GCUGUGUGUGGAUGUUGUUCUGUUAUGUCGUUUUCUGCGCAGGUGCAGCUUUAUGGGAUCCAUGAAGACAAGAUGCAGCAGUGUAGGAGGUGGAGGAGGUGGAGGAAAGACAAUGGGACUAAGAACCAGAGCAGACUUCUUCUACAUGGACAAACAUAUUGCAGGAGAAGAGGAGGAUGGGGGGAGAAUAGUGGAGGGGAGUAGAGUCCUCUACAUACACAACCCKCUACACAGCAGUGUCUUAUUUCCUGGAUUACUGACCCUCUGAAUGUGGCCGUGGCUCAAAUCACAAGACUUACUUCACUCCAGAGAAUGAGUUUGCUGUUUCCUGUCUCUGGAUGGACCCUCAUCUUAUUGGCUACCGAAAAGGGGUGUGGUCGUUGUGGAGCAAACUAAUGAGAGAGAACAAUGGCAUGAAGACUUCCAGUGCUGGCUCUCCUCAGGUGAGAGGGUCCCCUAGGCCAGUCUUUUCGCCCUCCAUUGCAACCUUGCCAUCCCCCAGCCCUGCAUCAUCAGAAGGGGAUGAACCAGGACAUGGGAGUAAGGUGUCUUUCUCUGAAGAUGUCACUGUCAAUGUGUUGGAUCAGGUAACAUCUAUCAGAUAAUUGGUAUUUUACAUCGGAAUCAUGUUUUAAUACCUACAGUAUCUAAAUAAUGUCAUUUUGAACAUUCUCAAUAGGAGAGUCCCACCAGGGAGCUACAAAGUCACUGACCAGAAACCUACAACAAAGAGACCAAGGGUCAAACUCCAUAUGCAAAUGUACAGACACAGACCUGAGACCAACGAUCAAUCCCCAAGCAAUGUCAACCUUCUAACUCAAAUGUCAACCUCAGGGGUUGUCUCCUUAGAGGACAAUAUUAUGUCUCUAUCUCUCUAUCUGAUGGUGGCUGUGUUCACUCUUCUCUACAGGUGUUGGUUUAGAAUGGGAGGAUGACUUCUCCAUCUUGGACAGCACUCUCAAAACUAAGAUGGUCGACCUCCAUCUUAUUAAAUCAAUUAACAUUUUAUUUGUCGCAUGAGCCGAAUACAACAGGUGUAGACCUUACUGUGAAAUGCUUACUUACAAGCCA